UACGUAGGGGGCGAGCGUUGUCCGGAUUUAUUGGGCGUAAAAGGCUUGUAGGUGGCCACGCCAAGUCGGAUGUGAAAUCUCCCGGCUCAACUGGGAGGGGUCAUUCGAUACUGGCGGGCUCGAGGUCGGUAGGGGGAAGCGGAAUUCCGGGUGUAGUGGUGGAAUGCGUAGAUAUCCGGAGGAACACCAGAGGCGAAGGCGACACGCUGGGCCGUACCUGACACUGAGGCGCGAUAGCAUGGGGAGCAAACAGG
rnacentral:rRNA from 1 species